rnacentral:rRNA from 1 species
AACGAACGCUGGCGGCAGGCUUAACACAUGCAAGUCGAGCGGAGAUGAGGUGCUCGCACCUUAUCUUAGCGGCGGACGGGUGAGUAAUGCUUAGGAAUCUGCCUAUUAGUGGGGGACAACAUUCCGAAAGGAAUGCUAAUACCGCAUACGACCGACGGGAGAAAGCAGGGGAUCUUCGGACCUCGCGCUAAUAGACUAGCCUAAGGCGGAUUAGCUAGAUGGUGGGGUAAGGGCCUACCAAGGCGACGAUCUGUAGCGGGUCUGAGAGGAUGAUCCGCCACACUGGGACUGAGACACGGCCCAGACUCCUACGGGAGGCAGCAGUGGGGAAUAUUGGACAAUGGGGGGAACCCUGAUCCAGCCAUGCCGCGUGUGUGAAGAAGGCCUUAUGGUUGUAAAGCACUUUAAGCGAGGAGGAGGCUACUGAGACUAAUACUCUUGGAUAGUGGACGUUACUCGCAGAAUAAGCACCGGCUAACUCUGUGCCAGCAGCCGCAGUAAUAC